AAUAAUACUUCUGUUGAGGUAUUACUGAGAUUUACUUUAAAAUGAUGCUAACACCUGAAAAAUGAACCCAUAUUUUCCUCAGAUCAUAGAUCAAUGAUAUUUAAAAAUUGGAAAUAAAUGUUGGGGAAUGCUCAGUUUUCAGAGAAGACACAUUUUUCAGGUUGAUUCAAAAUGUUUUCCCUGCCCUUCCCCUGCAGCAGCUCCAUCUCCGCCAACUGCCAUGUCCCGCGGGACUUUGCCUGUCGGGGUUGGAGUGCAGCAAACCCAGACCCCAGAAGGUCUUUCCUCCCUCUUACUGCAGCAAUGGAGCAGGAGGGUUUGUGGUGUGGCCGGGCGAUGCCCUGCAGCGGAGCCAGCCCCCAUCCUACGGUGUCCGUGCCCGUUUAGGCUCCCCUACAGGUGGCUUUGUCAGCUCUCCAAAUUGUGCAUGAAGAGGCAGGUUCCCAAUUGAUCUCUCAAUUAGAGCUCUGUUGAUACUGGAUAAAUGAGGGUUCACCUGGUUUGGACACAGCCUUGUCUGUUCACGAGCCAAGGCUUUCAAGUGAAAAGCAACACAUUUAAAAAAAAAAAAAAAUCCUUCUCUUUGGUGUUGCUUUUUUCCCUUGAUUACACAGGGCCAAACACGUGGACUGUUGAUUUGUGACUGAAGCCAUUAAUGCAUGAAUGCAAAAGCAAAGAUCGAGGCGCAUACCUAGAGCAAAUCAUGUCACAAGCUAGCACGCCAGUAAUCAGAUGUUACGU
rnacentral:lncRNA from 1 species